rnacentral:rRNA from 1 species
CUGGCUCAGAACGAACGCUGGCGGCGCGUUUAAGCAUGCAAGUCGAGCGGCAAGGGCCUUCGGGCCCCUAGAGCGGCGGACGGGUGAGUAACACGUGGACAAUCUGCCCCCCGGCCCGGGAUAGCCCAGGGAAACCUGGAUUAAUACCGGAUGAGACGGGACCCGCGAUGGCGGGAUCCGGGAAAGGCGCUGCGGCGCCGCCGGGGGAUGAGUCUGCGUCCCAUUAGCUAGACGGCGGGGUAACGGCCCACCGUGGCGACGAUGGGUAGCCGGCCUGAGAGGGUGGACGGCCACAUUGGAACUGAGACACGGUCCAGACUCCUACGGGAGGCAGCAGCUAAGAAUCUUCCGCAAUGGGCGAAAGCCUGACGGAGCGACGCCGCGUGAACGAAGAAGGCCGUGAGGUUGUAAAGUUCUUUUCGGGAGGGGGAACAACCGUGGCAGGGAAUGGCCGCGGGAUGACGUGAAUCCCGGAAUAAGCCCCGGCUAACUACGUGCCAGCAGCAGC